ACAGCAGUCGCCGCGGUAAUACGAAGGGUGCAAGCGUUAAUCGGAAUUACUGGGCGUAAAGCGUGCGUAGGCGGUUUGUUAAGUCUGCUGUGAAAUCCCCGGGCUCAACCUGGGAAUGGCAGUGGAUACGCGUAGUCUAGAGUGUGAAAGAGGGUCGUGGAAUUCCCAGUGUAGAGGUGAAAUUCGUAGAUAUUGGGAAGAACACCGGCGGCGAAGGCGGCGACCUGGUUCAUAACUGACGCUGAGGCGCGAAAGCGUGGGGAGCAAACAGGAUUAGAUACCCCAGUAGUCCCUGUCUCUUAUAU
rnacentral:rRNA from 1 species